UACGUAGGGUGCGAGCGUUAAUCGGAAUUACUGGCGUAAAGCGUGCGUAGGCGGUUCGUUAAGUUCGUUGUGAAAGCCCCGGGCUCAACCUGGGAAUGGCAAUGGAAACUGGCGGGCUGGAGUAUGGCAGAGGGGGGUGGAAUUCCGCGUGUAGCAGUGAAAUGCGUAGAGAUGCGGAGGAACACCGAUGGCGAAGGCAGCCCCCUGGGCCAAUACUGACGCUCAGGCACGAAAGCGUGGGGAGCAAACAGG
rnacentral:rRNA from 1 species